UGCAGUUUGAUCUCAGACUGCUGUGCUAGCAAUCAGCGAGACUCUGUGGGGGUAGGACCCUCUGAGCCACGUGCCGGAUAUAAUCUCGUGGUGCGCCGUUUUUUUAAGCCGUUCGGAAAAGCACAGUAUUCGGGUGGGAGUGACCCGAUUUUCCAGGUGCGUCUGUCACCCCUUUCUUUCACUCAGAAAGGGAACUCCCUGACCCCUUGCGCUUCCCAAGUGAGGCAAUGCCUCGCCCUGCUUCGGCUCGCGCACGGUGCGCGCACCCACUGACCUUCGCCCACUGUCUGCCACUCCCAAGUGAGAUGAACCCGGUACCUCAGAUGGAAAUGCAGAAAUCACCUGUCUUCUGCGUCGCUCACGCUGGGAGCUGUAGACUGGAGCUGUUCCUAUUCGGCCAUCUUGGCUCCUCUCAGGUCUGGUUGUUGUUUAGUGGCAUCUAGUUUUGCUUUUAAUUUGAAUUUUCUUGAACUUUAACAAUGGUGUGAGUCUUUUCUGCAGAUUUAUUGGUAAUUCGGGUUGUUUAAAUAAAAUUCCAUUUAAAAAUCAGUGUUGUGAUUCUUCCCCUUCAUUUAUUUCCCAGAUGAUAAAAUUCAGGCCAAGAGAAGCAAAGACAGCAAAGACUGACAUAAAAAAGAAACAACAAAAACAACUCUUGUUAAUGAUGUAGAAUUAAUCUGAAUUCUCCAAAAACCUGCCUCUUUUGGAGACGGAGUUUUGCUCCUGUUGACCAGGCUAGAGUGCAAUGGCGUGAUCUUGGCUCACUGCAACAUCUGCCCCCCGAGUUCAAGCGAUUCUCCUGCCUCAGCCUCCAGAGUAGCUGGAAUUAUAGGCGCCCACCACCAUGCCCAGCUAAUUUUGUAUUUUUAGUAGAGAGACGGUUUCUCCAUAUUGGUCAGGCUGGUCUCGAACUCCCAACCUCAGGUGAUCUGCCCACCUUAGUCUCCCAAAGUGCUGGGAUUACAGGCGUGAGCCACCACGCCUGGCAUUUCUUUGAUUCUUAAAUUCUGUUUAUAUUUUUAACUUUUUUAUGAUUGGAGUGCACAUCCUAAAUAUCUGCAUGUGAUUUCUCAAGGUAAUUUAUCAGAAAAUAUAGUUUUUACUGAAAUGGGGGGUGAUUAAAGCAACAUGGUUGAUGGACCUCUUAUAUUCAGCAUGCAAAGGAUUUAGUAACAUGCAAAUUGUUUAACAGUGAUGUAGUUAAAUUUUCCAGUAAAAUUGGUUAUGGUACCCCAACUAGAAAGCAGCAAACAACUUUCUGAGGGGUGUUUUCCCUGUCAUUUGGAGAUAUACAUUUAUUAAGUUGACAUAAAUAGAAUUUCUGAAUUGCAUCAAUAUUAUGAGUGGAGAACAAUAACUCAAGUGAGAGAAUAAUAACAGUAUUUACAGAGAGGCAGGGAGCAUUUGAAAGCACACUAGAAAUAGACACUGCAUGUAGGGGAUGGGGAAGUUUGUGGUUUAUGUUUAACUCCGAAUGGAGUGCUGUUCCUCUCUUUUCCUCUUAUUACUUUCUAUUUUUUAAAAUUGUCUUCAUCCUAUUGAUACUCCUUACCAUCUUAAUCCAUUAAAACUCAUGCAUCUAGAGGAAAAAGCAAAUGCAAAAAAUGUAGAGUGGAUGUGGUAACUAAUAAAUGAUCUUGAUUAAUUUUUAUUUGGUGGCUAGUAUUAGAGUUUUAUUCCUCAAAACCUACUGCUUUAAACUUGCAAAAUAUAAAACUGCAAAAAGUACCAAG
rnacentral:lncRNA from 10 species